UUGCUAGAGGUGAAAUUAUUGGAUCUACGGAAGACAAACUUGUGAGAAAGCAUUUGCCACGGAUGUUUUCAUUAAUCAAGAAAGAAGGUUAGGGGAUCGAAAACGAUCAGAUACCGUUGUAGUUUUAACAGUAAACUAUGCCGACUAGGGAUCGGGCGAUGUUAAUAUCUUGACUCGCUCGGCACCUUACGAGAAAUCAAAGUUUUUGGGUUCUGGGGGGAGUAUGGUCGCAAGGUUGAAACUUAAAGAAAUUGACGGAAGGGCACCACCAGGAGUGGAGCCUGCGGCUUAAUUUGACUCGACACGGGGAAACUCUUUAGGUCCAGAGACAAGUAGGAUCCACAGAUUGAGAGCUCUUUUCUGAUCUUGUAGUUGUUGGUGCAUGGCCGUUCUUAGUUGGUGGAGUGAUUUGUCUGCUUAAUUCGAUAACGAACGAGACCUUAACGGAAUAAAUACCCCGGCUCCCUUUGGCGGGUGGAAGCAUUGUUAGAGGGUAUCUCGGCUCAAAAAGAUGGAAGUGCGAGGCAAUAACAGGUGCGUGAUGCCCUUAGAUGUUAUGGGAUGCACGCGCGCUACACUGUCAGAGCCAGCGAGUUUUUUUCCUUGGCCGGAAGGUCUGGGUAAUCUUGUUAAACUGAGUUGGGGUGGGGAUAGCGCAUAGCAAUUAUUGCUCUUCAACGAGGAAUCCAUAGUAAGCGCACUCUUCAGCAUGCUUUGAUUACGUCCCUGCCCCUUGUACACACCGC
rnacentral:rRNA from 1 species